rnacentral:misc_RNA from 1 species
UUAAGUUCAGCGGGUAUCCCUACCUGAUCCGAGGUCAAACCAUAGAUAAAAAAGUGUUUACCGGGCGAGCGGUACCCAACCCUCCAGAGCGGAAUGUUUUAACUACGCUAAGGAGCUGGGCGCCACCGCCUACGAGUUUCGGGCACGUCCUUUGACGGACGAGAGGCCCAACACCAAGCAGAAGCUUGAGGGUUUGAAAU